rnacentral:rRNA from 1 species
UGGGGAAUAUUGGACAAUGGGCGCAAGCCUGAUCCAGCCAUGCCGCGUGAGUGAUGAAGGCCUUAGGGUCGUAAAGCUCUUUUGUGCGGGAAGAUAAUGACGGUACCGCAAGAAUAAGCCCCGGCUAACUUCGUGCCAGCAGCCGCGGUAAUACGAAGGGGGCUAGCGUUGCUCGGAAUCACUGGGCGUAAAGGGUGCGUAGGCGGGUUCUUAAGUUAGAGGUGAAAGCCUGGAGCUCAACUCCAGAACUGCCUUUAAUACUGGGAAUCUUGAGUUCGGAAGAGGUGAGUGGAACUGCGAGUGUAGAGGUGAAAUUCGUAGAUAUUCGCAAGAACACCAGUGGCGAAGGCGGCUCACUGGUCCGAUACUGACGCUGAGGCACGAAAGCGUGGGGAGCAAACAG